rnacentral:rRNA from 1 species
AUUGAACGCUGGCGGCAUGCCUUACACAUGCAAGUCGAACGGUAGAGGGCUUCGGCCCUUGAGAGUGGCGAACGGGUGAGUAGAGCAUCGGAACGUACCCUGAAGUGGGGGAUAACGUAGCGAAAGUUACGCUAAUACCGCAUAUUCUGUGAGCAGGAAAGAGGGGGAUCGCAAGACCUCUUGCUUUAGGAGCGGCCGAUGUCGGAUUAGCUAGUUGGUGAGGUAAAGGCUCACCAAGGCGACGAUCCGUAGCGGGUCUGAGAGGAUGAUCCGCCACACUGGGACUGAGACACGGCCCAGACUCCUACGGGAGGCAGCAGUGGGGAAUUUUGGACAAUGGGGCAACCCUGAUCCAGCCAUGCCGCGUGAGUGAAGAAGGCCU